AUAUAAAUAUAUAAAUAAAUUGCUGCAUCCUAUAUCAGUGCUAUUUCUAGAUUUUUAAGAAAUAUCCAUACUGUUUUCCAUAGUGGCUGUACUAACUAACAUUCCUACCAACGAUGUAUAAGAAUUCCCCUUUCUCCACAUCCUCACCAGCAUUUGUUAUUUUUGCUUUUUGAUAAUAACCAUCAUUAUCAAAAUUAUUGUGAGAAGGCAUCUCAUUGAAGUUUUGAUUUGCAUCUCCCUGAUGGCUAGUGAUAUUGAGCAUCUUUUUACAUACUUGUUGGCCAUUUGAAUUUCUUCUUUUGAGAACUGUCUGUUCAGGUGUUUUGCCCAUUUCUUAACUGGAUUGGUUGUUUUAUUAUAAGGCUUCUUUUUUUUUUAAUGUGUUUUCAAUUUGUUUCUUCUGAUUUUCAGUCUCUUUCUCCUUCUCUCCUUUUUAAAGUGUUUUUGUUUUCCUGGGAGUUUAGCUUAGAAAAAGAAAACAAUUCCAAAUUGAUUUAUUUCUUUGCUGAGAUUUUCUACAUUUGUGUUUGCAGUUGUUGAGUAUUUUAUGACCAUUGCUUUUAAAUCCAUGUCAGAUGAUUCUAGUACCUGACUCGACUCAUGUUGGUGUCAGCUGAUUGUCUUUUCCACUGAAGUUGUGUUUGUCUCUGUUCUUGGUAUGACAGGUUGUGUUUUUAUUGUGUCUUGGACAUUGUGUCUAUUUUCUACAUCUCCUAUUUUGUCAGGCGAGUACCCUGUUGAGGUUUUUGCAAGCAGGUCUUGUUCCAGUUUUGUAGACUGUGUCUCCAGAGGCAGUUGAAUUUUCAGGGCCUUUGUUCUACUGUUUGGUUUGCUUGCUUUGUCUGGAGGCAUUGGAGCUUUCCCUGGUGCCCGCUGGUGCUGGCUGAGGAAGGUGGAGACUCUGGAAGGGCCCAUGGGACCAUAGAGGCUUCCUGGUUGGGCCACUUGUCGUAGGUGCACCUCUCCUGGCCAUCCUAGUACCUCCUACUAGCCUUGGCAUCUUCCAGCAGGGGAGUACAGACCCCACCUGGCAGGAAAUAGGGCUGUGCCCAUGCACUUGUUGUUUGCUGGAAGGAGUUCCAGCUCCCUUUCUCUUCCUUUGGUAUCAGAAUGGAGCCAGAGAGAUGUUUUCAGAUGGAAACCUGUUGAUCUGGGGAAGGAAUGAGGCUACACAGCUGCCUUCUAUUGCCAGAUAAGGAGUCAGAAAACACCAUUGUGAGUCGCUUUUUCUGCCCUUCCCCUGUGCUGUUGCUCUGUACGGGCUCCCAAACAAGAUUACCUUCUUCUUACCACCUUUCGGAGUUCUCAUUUGGCUAUCUCUUGAGUGACUUCCAGGCUUUAGAAUGAGUUGUACUUAUUGAGAAUGAACAAGGAGAAGCAGGUCUCCAUCCUCUGUAUAGACUAAGUGGAGUCAGCUUCUAAAAGUGGAACGGCCUUUAGCUCUCAAAUGCCUUCUCAUUGUGUUUAUAAACCUAGUCCUUGCAGGGGUCAUGGUCACUGUAAGGGGUGAUAAUGAUUCCACUGAAUGGAAUUAAGAAUUGAAGACAAGUCAAUAGCAAAAUCACAGAAGACUAGUCACAGACAACGAAUGAACAAGGGGAAAGAUGCCUGAUCUUAGCAGUCAUCAUCACAUGCCAAGUAAAAUGACAAGCAUAAAUCACUUUUCAGGCAGCAGAUAGAAAAAGGUUGAAAGUUUGAUCAAAUUAAAUGGGAAAAUAAGUAUUGUCCUAUGUCAUUGAUAGGAUGUGAAUGGGCACAACCUUUUCGAACAGUCAUCCAGCAUUAGCUACUAAGAGUUUUUAGAAUGCACACAUGUUCUUUGGCUCAGCAGUACCACGUGCAAGAGUCUUCCCUAAUGGAACAAAUGCAGAGUUUCAUUUAUAUACACAAUGACAUCUACUACGCCAUCAUCUGUUGUGAUGAAGUCUAGAAGUAACCCACAUGCCCAUCCACUAUUGACUGACUAAUCUAUGGCUCAUGCAAUGUGAGGGAGAAUUUUUUUUUUUUUUUUGACAGGCAGAGUGGACAGUGAGAAAGAGAGACAGAAAGGUCUUCCUUUUCUGUUGGUUCAUCCCCCAAUGGCCACUGCGGCCAGUGCGCUGCAGCCGGCGUACCACGAUGAUCUGAACCCAGGAGCCAGGUGCUUCUCCUGGUCUCCCAUGUGGGUGCAGGGCUCAAGCACUUGGACCAUCCUCCACUGCACUCCUAGGCCACAGCAGAGAGCUGGACUGGAAGAGGGGCAACCGGGACAGAAUCCGGCGCCACAGGCAGAGGAUUAAUUAGCCUAUUGAGCCACAGCGCCGGCAAGAACUUUCUUUAAAAAAAAAAAAAAAAGAUUAAUUGAUUGAGUUGAAAGGCAGAGUGACAAUGAGAGGGAGAGAAAGAGAGAGAUUGAGAUUCAUUCUGGUUCAUUUCCCAAAUGGGCUGAGGCUGCUCCAGGCAGAGGCCAGGAAUGUGGAACUCCAUCCAGGUGUCCUACCCCUUUGGGUGGGUGGGUGGCAGGGGCCCAAGAACAUGAACCGGCUGGCACCAUGGCUCACUAGGCUAAUCCUCCGCCUUGCGGCACCAGCACACCAGGAGAAGUACCUGGCUCCUGCCAUCGGAUCAGCACGGUGCGCCAGCCGCAGCGCACCGGCCAAGGCGGCCAUUGGAGGGUGAACCAACGGCAAAGGAAGACCUUUCUCUCUGUUUCUCUCUCUCACUGUCCACUCUGCCCGUCAAAAAAAAAAAAAAAAUCCAGGAACAUGAACCAUCACUUGCUGCCUUCCCAGGUGCAUUAGCAGGGAGCCGAAUCAGAAAUGGAGCAGCUGGGGCUCAAGGUGGGCCGAUACAGCAUACCAAUGUUACAAGCGAUUGCUUAGCCCACUGUGCCACAAUGCCAGCCCCUGCGAGGGAGAACUGUCUAUAAACACCAGUCUUCCAAGGGUGGAGUGAUAGGGCAGUAAGCUCCUUGUACUAGAAUGUUCCGUCAGAGGCCUUAAGAAAUGCCACUUUGGGAAUUCUCAUGGAGGCAAGACAUCUGUUUGCAUUGUUUCCUCCUGACUGUAUGAUUCUAUGGUUCUUUUUUUUUUCUUUUAAAUAUUUAUUUAUUUAUUUGAAAGUCAGAGUUACACAGAGAGAGAAGGAGAGGUAGAACAAGAGAGAGAGGUCUUCCUUCCGUUGGUUCACUACCCAAAUGGCCGCAACUGCGGGAGCUGCGCCAAUCCGAAGCCAGGAGCUUCUUCUAAGUCUCCCAUGUGGGUGCAGGGGCCCAAGCACUUGGGCCAUCCUCCACUGCUUUCCCAGGCCAUAGCAGAGAGCUGGAUUGGAAGUGGAACAGCCGGGACUCAAACCGGCACCCAUAUGGGAUGCCGGCUCUGCAGGCAGUGGCUUAACCCGCUAUGCCACAGCGCCAGCCCCAUCUAUGGUUCUAUAAAUUGGCCACGGUGACCCUCUUACAGUAAAGAAAGCAGAGGGAGAGGAGCAAGGUCUCUGGCCCCUCCUUAUCUGCUCUCCUGCUUUGGUACUGAGUCUUUAAGAGUGGGUAUACAGGUGUGGGAUAUUUUCAUGAGCGCACCUACAGAGGCCACAGGCUGAAGCUGUUUUGUUUAGAUACUUAAUAAGUGAAGACAAAUGGUUGUUGGUUUCUCCAUCCCUAAUUGUUCGAACAAGAUUCCUGUUUCAGAAAAUGCCUCCUUUAUAUUCAUAGUCACUAGCGGAAAGUGACUAAUUUGUGACUGGGCAGGAACACAGCGUCAAAGACCCUGAGCAUAUGGGUAAGUGACUCUGUGUGUGUCUAAGAUCGAUGGAGCCUGACGCCUGCUCCUUUGCCAGGAGCGUGGGCCGGCAUAAAUGCACUCGGGAAGGGGAGGACGGCGGCUCAUUAGGGACUGGGCUGGGAGUGGCGGGACGCCUGCAUCUCUCUCCAUUAGCAGCUUGCAAACUGUGACACUUCCUCAGAGGUGCUUCGGGGGCUCAGCACGCACUUGUUCGGAGCAUUUAAAAUAUGCUUAAAUAAUUGCUUUCAAAACUAAUUAAAAACUAACCAGAAAACCCAUCCAAAUGUAGUAUAUGUCAUACGUGAACACCGUCGAAAUGCCCAACUUACCAAUAUUCAGUCUUGUGAAUUGGCUGUUUAGUAAAUACAAUGAAUGCUGAAACAGAAGUUUGUGUAGAAAAUACUGCUUUGCCUGUUUUUCUUUUUAAUUCAUGAUUUUUAUAUUGUGGCUUCCUUUGGGGGAAAAAAAGAAAUUAUGCUAAAAAUUUUUGCUAGCCACUGCCUCCAAAUCACAAGAAAAAACAGAAAAGUGAAAUUAAAAUGACGAUAGCCUGAGAAAUUCUAUUAGAAUUGAUAUAGACAACCCAAGACUGGUCAGAGGCAUUGCUGUAGAACUCCCAAAACUGGACCCAUGUGCCCAGCAUGCAGAAAACCAAUCACUGAAUCAAGGCAGUGAAGAAAGGAGGUGUUCAUUGCAAAGCGCAGAGUGAGGAGCAGGGCAGCUAUGGCUAAUUCCCAGGCUCCCACAGGGGUUAGGAGUAAAUGCUUUGUGAAUCGAAGCUGAGAUAAGAGAUAUGCGUUCAGCAUGUAUCCAGGUUCCUGGUUAGUUGUUGGAACCCAUAGCCUGCCUUUGAUUGGCUGGCAGUGUGUGUUCUUCAGAGAAUUUUUAUGAUGAUAGAGUAGGUGUCUUUCAUCUAGGGGCUACAUGCAGGUGGUAGCUAUUUUCUGUCCCAGAUCUGGAAUUCUCUAAAGGAAACCCCUGGAGACAUGACUGACCCCCCCCCCCCAAGAUGUCAUCUGUUCGAGAAGCAACAACCUCAUGGGUCCAGUGAUUAAAACCUUGCAGGAACAGGUGCACCUGUUAAUGCUCAUAAGUGAUUUGCUAUCAAAGGGCAGGGCAAGAACACUUCAAGCUUCCGGAGGGAGGCUAGGAGACUAGGCUUGGUGGUAUGUGGGGACUGCCUUCUAGGCACUCUUUAGGGGUUCAGUGUCUGAAUAGUUAGCCUAUCUCCCGCACCGCUAAUACUCUCAUACUCUUCACAUGCUCCCCUUAACAAGCUCUUUACUCCACAUUCAAGCAUAUAAAUGCUCUAAAACACCAUGCCCUCCUUCCCUCAUUCUUAUUUUCUAUAGUCUUUUUGGAGGAAGAGUGGCGUUAGGAGUUGGAUUUGGUUGAAUUUUGGUGAUAAGCUUUAAUGUGAUGAUUUGUGUGAUAGUUUCUUUUCAAAGGAGGGACUCUCAAAAUGCUCGAUUUAUUUUUCUAUUGCAAACAUAUUUUGAAGAAUUAAAUAGGCUGGGAAAUUUUCCAGGGUCUGGAACACAGGGUCUGGAGGUUAAGCAUGUAGGUUCAAAUUUUAAAUCUGCCUUCUUUAAGUAAAGCUUAACAUGGGCACAUUUCUAAGCUUUAUCUUGGAUUCCCUUUGUGUAAGAUGGAGAUGAUAAUAGUAUUGCCACCAUAGAGUUCUCGUAAGGGCCAAAGAAACCAAUAUGUGUAAAAUAUUUAGCAUGGGGCCUCACACACAAUGAGCAUCCCAAAAACAUUACUGGAAUUUUAUUUCAUUUUCACACAAUUUUUUGCCCAAAUUUACCAUAGGAACUGUUAAGUACCAAACAGAAAAAUUAAAAUUAAGAGCAAGGCUGGAAGUAAAACGGAGAUACAACAUGAACGUCCAUUUAUGCCAAUACUUAUAUAUAAAAAAAAAACUUUGCCUUUAUAUUUGAUUCUUCAGUAAAUCUGUGCUAUCUCCCUAAAUGGGAACCCGUUUCUGAGACACGAAGACUCCAAACAGCAAAAGGUGAUGGUAGAGGGGGUGGCUAGAAAUAAGGGCAUUUAAGUUCAGUACCCUUUCUCCCAUGGUGUUCCCAUGUUGUGGUUGUGUCAACAAUAAUAGUACGGGAUUUAGGCAAAUAUGGGAGAUAGGCAUUGAGACACAGGCAUAGAACCUGGGCCUCUCCAGAGCUUGUUUUUUAUAGGAUGUUUCACAAGAGCUUAUUUUGCAACCUUGUUCCCAGAGAGGGUCCAGACCACUACAAACAAGGCAUAGUUGAAGCUGCAAGAAACCAAUUUGAGGAACCAGUGUUGGUACAGUGGGUACAGCUGCUGCCUGCGACACCAGCAUCCCAUAUGGGCACCAGUUCAAAUUCCAGCUGCUCUGCUUCCAAUCCAGCUCCCUGCUAAUGGCCUGGGAAAGCACUAAAAGAUGACCCAAGUGUCUGGGCUCCUGCCGCCCAUGUGGGAGAUGUGGAAGAAAUUCCUGGCUUCAGCCUGGUGCAGCCCUGGCCAUUGUGGCCAUGUGGGCAGUGAAUCAGAAAACGAAAGGUCUCUCUCUCUCUCUCUCUCUUUCUCUUUCUCUCUAAUCUCUCUCUCUCUCUGUCUCCAACACUUUCAAGUAAAUACAUCUCUUAGAAACAAACAAACCAGUUGGAGUCAGAGCUUUAUGACCUAAGCGGAACUUUGCCCAUUAUAGAAUACUAACUUCUCCACCUGGCAGAGAAAUUUGCUACCACGUGUUGAAGACACAAAGUACGAAGGUGCAGGUUGCUUGCAGAAUCAAAAAGAAGAUGAAUUCGAGCAGACAUGUAAACAAAGAGAAAUUGAAAUUGACAACUCACCUCGGGUGACAUUGGAGCUGGCAGCCUGUUGGGGUCUGAUGAGAUUGGGAAGGCUCAUGUGGUGAUCGGGACCACCUAUCCUCUCCAUCUGCCUUUCUGGGGGCCAUCGUGGAGGACAUUGGAUCUGUACUUCCUAAGCCUCAGUCCCUCGAACUCUAAUAUCUGGAAGUCCAGUCUCCAUCUGGCAGGCUUAGAGGUACCGUUUUGGCAGUCUGCUUGCUGUAACAAUGUGUAUCUGAGUGACGAAGCUGCCGACCACCGUGACUGUCUUGUCAGCACCCGUGAGCAGCUGGACAGUUUGGCCUGCUCUGAGCAUUCCAUAUCAGUGCAACCAUCUCCUCCGGGGGUUUCGUGACUGGCUGCAGGUAACACUUUGGUAGUCUUCAGGUGGACUCUGAAGAGUAGAUAGUGCAGUACCUUAGAAAAAAAUACACCUUGAGGGAGACAGCUGUCCCAGCAGUUAAGAUGCCAACUGAGAUGUCCGUGUCCCAUAUCAGUGUGCCUAGGUUCAAGUCCCAGCUCCGUUUCUGAUUCCAGCUUCCUGCUACUGCACACCCUGGGAUCAGUGGGUGAUAACUCAGGAACUUGUGUCCCUGCCACACGUAGGGGAGACCUGGACUGAGUUGCAACUCUGGGAUUUGGGCUGAUCCAGCCCCAGCUGUUGUGGGCUACUACCCCAAAUGGCUACAACAGCCAAGGCUGUGCCAGGCUGAAGGCAGGAGCCAGGAACUCCAUCCUGAUCUCUCACAUGGUAGACAGGGGCUGAAGUACUUGGGCCAUCAUCUACUCCCUGCCCAGGCACAUUAGAAGGAAGAUGAAUUGGAAGUAGAACAACUGGGACUUCAACCAGCCUGGCACUCUGAUGGGGUUGUCGGUAUGUAAGUGUGCCUUGAUCCAGUAUGCUGCAACACUGGCCUCCCCUCCCCCACCCUGGCCCCACAAAAUGCCCUUUUAUCAAUGCAAAUAUUACAGCAUUCACUUUCCGAUGUAAUCUCAAUCCCCUGCUCCCAAGGCGUCCUGCAUCCCAUUCCCAUGCAAACACUCCACUCCAUGUUCAAUACACACCUUGUUUUGCAUGCAGUAAAGGUCAAAAACAGCAAAGUAAUAGCAGCACAGAGCAGAGAUUCCAAUGCUAGUGCGGGCACUUAGCAGCUGUGCCUUCCAGGCCAACUUACUCAACUCCUCCGGUCCUUAACUUCUUCAUCUGUAACAUGAGGAAAACAAUGGUUUCUGCCUCAAAGGCUCUUAUAAGGACGAAAUGAAUGAACACGUGCAAACCCUUGAAAAAGUUCAUAGGACGAAGUAUUCUAUGUGCUUGAUUUAUUUACUAUCGUGAUCAGCAAAGUGAGCUCCAUGAUACAAACAGUGCCACAGAAUGUGUAGACAGUUCUCAUGGCUCCUUCAUCUUCCAUGAUCAGAGGUCAUUUCAAUCAGAUGUGUCUUUCAAAAUUGCCCUAUCUGUGGGCCUGUGUUGUAGCCCAGCAGGUCCAGCCACCACUGUGACACUGGCAUCCCAAAUCCGAGAGCCACUUCAAGUCCCAGCUGCCUGCUUCCCAUCCAGCUCCCUCUUGUGUGCCUGGGAAGGCAGUGGAAGAUGGCCCAGGCAUUUGGGCCCCAGUUACCCAUGUGGGAGACUAGGAUGGAGUUCCUGGUUCCUGGCUUCAGGCUGGUACAGCCCCAGCUAUUGCAGCCAUUUGAAGAAUGAACCAGAAGAUGGAAGAUGGAUCUUUCUCUCUCUCUCUCUCUCUCUCUCUCUCUCUCUCUCUCUCUGCCUUUCAAAUAAAUAAGAAUAAAUUAAAAAAAAAAACAGCAUACCCUGGCGCUGGCAUUGUGGUACAGCAGGUUAAGCCACUGCCUGCGAUUCCAGCAUCCCAUAUUGGCAUGUCCUGACUGCUCCACUUCCCAUCCAGCUCCCUGAUAAUAGCUUGGGAAAAGCAGCAGAAGUCAGCCUGAAUGCUUAGGCCCCUGCCACCCACAUGGGAGACCCAGAUGAAGCUCUGGCUUUGGCCUGGCCCAGUCCUGGCCAUUAUGGCCAUCAGCAUAUAGAAGAUAUCUCUGUCUUUCUCUGUAUCUCUGACUUUCAAACAAAUAAAAAAAAGUCUUGUUUAUUCCUUAUAUCCUUUGAAGGAGGAGGUAUGGCCUGCAAACACCUGUCCUUUUCCUUUUAACAAAUGUUUACUGAGGGUACAUGAUAUGGCAGGCACGCUCGCGUUCAGUGCAUAAGGCUGAAAUGAUCCUCUUCAUCACGGAGGGAAUGCAGUAGAAGAAUCGCACCACUGGCAGGGGAACAAGUUGAGCAAACAAGGCAGCCUCUGCCAAGUGCUUUCAGAGACUUUGUCAGAGCAGUGUCGGAGCAGAGGGAGAUAACGGGGGUACAGAGAAGAGAGAGAGGAUUUUUACAUUUCUCUCAACGUUCAGAAUGUGUGCCCAUUCCAGCAUUGUCUGUUACCCAGAGGGAUCGUGGUAAGGAUGCAAAUGCUUCCAAUUACUUUUGAACUUUGGGCACUGUUUGCUCAUACAUAGAAUGCACUCCAGAUUGGUCUAUGAGAACUCUGGGCUUUAUAUGGGCUAUAAACGGUUAUCAAGAGGAAUGUGAUGCCAGGGAGACUUAGCGAGCUUUGGAGGCAGGUAGGAAGGGGGGGGGGCUCAGAUUUGGGGAUGAAGACAGGAGCAGGUGACUUAGAGGAUGAGGAGGACGCCAUGGGAAGAGGAGAGGAUCUAGGAGAGGGGAAACGAGCUUAGGCAGGCACGUCCCAGUGUCUCCAAGUAGGAGGGCGUGGCUAGAAGACAGGGGCAGGAUGGAGCCACCCAGGUCAGAUUCCAUGGCCCUAGGAGGCACAAUAAGGGGUCUAAAUCCAGUCUGGGGCCCAUGCUGCAGCAUAAUGACAGUGGUUCAAGUCCCGGCUGCUGCACUUCCAAUCCAGCUCCCUGCUAAUGCACCUGAGAAAGCAGCAGAAGAUGGCCCAAGUACUUGGGCUCUUGUACCCAUGUAGGAGAAUCAGAAGAAGCUCCUGGCUCCUGACUUCAGCUUGGCUCAGCCCCAGCUGUUGUGGCCAUUUGGGAGUGAACCAGUGGAUGGAAGAACUCUCUCUCUCUCUCUCUCUCUGUGUGUGUGUGUGUGUGCGUGUGUGCGUGUGUGUGUGUGUGUCUUUCCCUCUCUCUCUGUAACUCUGCCUUUCAAAUACAUAAAUCUUUAGACUCCAUCCUACUCACGCCAGGGAGCCGUGAAUGCCUGUAAACAAAGAAUAGGGAUGAGUCACACGGCACUAGUCACUUGCUGGCCUGCCAAGAAUUCUAACUCUUGAGAGUGGAGUUCUCUUUACAAGGGAAAGUUGGAGACCUUAAAAAAGUUAGCAAGCAAGCAGAAGAGGGGGAAGGCACCCAGAGCCUCACAGCCAGCAGAGGUAUCUCAGACGUCCUUGCCUGCUGCCAGGCCUCCAGAGCCAGCAUGUGUUGGAACAUCACUUGACAAAACUUGCAAAUGAAAAAUCUCAUUUUCCUUUUAUUUCUAACCAUUCUUAGCAACCCCCAGUUAUCAAGCAGUUGCUUCUAAUUCUCUAGAGAGUAGCACCAACACCACGGCUGCUCCGUGAAUAAGAUGACACUUCCGUGACCCCUCUGGAAGGCCACCACCAUUGCACAGGGGAAAGACUUAAUUACAUGGGCACUGAGGUUCUGUGAGGUAGCAACAGCCUGCUUUGCAAUGCACUUUCCCUCCUCCGUCCUAUUUGUCAAGGUUUAUGGUGCUAUAUAGUCCCCAGGCGUGUAACGGAUAAGCUAAGCCACCCUGAUCCCCUUGAGAGCAAGCCACAGAGACCUGGCCCAGCUUCUGGGAGCACUGCCCUGAGGCAGACCUCAACUGGGAGCUCAGGGCUGAGGGUUGCUACAGCCUCAGAGAGCUCCCUGCCUCCUCCAGGGCCACACUCCUGCCCUUCAACCACAUCCAGCGAAUGAUGGGCAGCUGUAGGCAUACAGGGGUCCAGCCCUGGGAAAGCCUGAAGGGCUUUCUCACCACAACUCUGCAGAGGUGUCAGAAGCCCCUACAGUCAGCAUCACCCUACCUCGGUUCUCCCUUCGCUUCUGCAGGGGUUGAUCCCUGAGCCGGCCUGGAAAGGAGAUUCUAUCACAGUUCCCUGUGGUCUGUGUCUGGUCCAGGAAAUGUGCUCAGGGUGAAGACCAAGGCCUGCAUGUAUUUUGCAGGUGUGUUGCUAGCUGGACGGAAGUGGGACAUAAAGCAGGAGAAAUAAAUCUGGAGGCCUCGCUCUGGGUACCUGAGUGACUCACCCACUUACUCAGAGGCAGGACAAUUAAAAUCCGUUCACACGCAAUCGUUCUCUCUUCUUCCUCUGCCCGCCUUCCUUCCAUCGGCAUUCCUUCCCUCUUCCAACCUCAUGGGCAGGAUCUGAGAAGCCCCUACAAGACCCAGGGGCCUACCCUUGGUCUCCAAGUGGCCAGCAGUCCUACUCUCCUCUCUGUGCACACACUCCUCCCCCCGGAAGCCACUAUGGGAUAAUUCUUCAGUCACGGCAGGAGCCUCCUACUCAAAUACAUGCAUGCUACUGGGGCAAAAGGGGUCUCAGAGCAUUGGCCUAUUUUGCUACUGAAUCUUGCGUAUUCUCAAGGACCCCUUUUUCACCCUGGUUUAUUAAUACUUCAUGGGGUCAGUGCUGUGGCAUAGUAGGUUAAGCCUCCACCUGCAGUGCCGGCAUCCCAUAUGGGUGCCAGUUCGAGUCCCGGAUGCUCCGCUUCCAAUCCAGCUCCUUGCUAAUGGCCUAGGAAAGCAGUGGAAGAUGGCUUAAGGGCUUGGGCCCCCGCACUCACAUUGGAGACCUGGAAGAAGCUCCUGGCUCCCGGUUUUGGAACGGCUCAGCUUCUGCCAUUGUGGCCAUCUGGGGAGUGAACCAGUGGAUGGAAGACCUCUCUGUCUCGCCCUCUCUCUCUGUAACUCUGCCUUUCAAAUAAAUAAAUAUUUUUUUAAAGUAGCAGUUCACAUGGAGUGAAGCAGACUUGGCUGAGAGCAGAUGGCUUUGCAAGUUUCAAUGAGACUGGGGCACAGAACGUCAGCCCCAAGGUCCAGCUUUUCUGGGGUGGCUUCUGCUCUUGGGGUGUGUGUUGGUGAGGAAGAAAACACCACCCCAAGAGGAGGGGAUGCCCCAGACUGGGGUACCCAGAAAAAACUCCACCUCUUCCCAGUUUUCUCUGCUGUGAUUUACCAAAGAAACUGUCCACUGGCAGAGCAAAAGGACACCCUGCCUACCCCGCCUCGGCAACCUUUGGGCGACAUUUUUUAUGCUUAUAUGGCCCAUAUUGUGGUUGAUCCUUUCCUUCGGAACACCCUUCCCCUCCCUCCAUCUGGGCACCCACUUGUCUGCAGGCUCCUUUUCCAGCCCGACUGGCCUCUGGAGGCCUCUCUUUGCUCUUGUCGUUGGACACAUUUCCUGAUGAAAUGCAAUGCUGAACAAGUGUAGAAGCAGCGAGGAUGAUGCAAACAUACAAUGUGAGCAUGACCAGGAGAGUUUCCCCUCGCUCAGGCCAAACAAGGCAAGAGGAAGCAGUGCAUCCCGGGAAGCCGGCCUGCUCAAACCCCCUUUCCCAGCCUGUGGUCAACAGGACCCCCAAAUUCCAGAGCCCUCUGUACUUGUCCACACGCUGUGUGCUUUGGUGUCACCCACCCUAUCAUGUGUUCCCAGUGCCAGUGUGACUUAGCUAACCUGUGAGUCCCUGGAAAUAAAGAAUGUAUAUUUUCAGUCUCUACUAUAAUUUCAUGGAGCUUUAGGUAGAAGACUCUCAAGGAGGUAAAACUAUGUGGUUAUUUUAAGAUUUAUUUAUUUGAAAGGCAGAGUUACACACACACACAGAGAGAGAGAGA